GAUCAGCUGCAGCAUUAGAUUCUCAUAGGAGCAUAAACCCUAUUGUGAACUGCACAUGUGAGGGAUCUAGGUUCCCCACUCCUUAUGAGAAUCUAAUGCCUGAUGAUCUGUCACUGUCUCCCAUCACCCCCAGAUGGGACCAUCUAGUUGCAGGAAAACAAGCUCACAGCACCCACUGAUUCUACAUGAUGGUGAGUUGUGUAAUUUCAUUAUAGCACAAUAAUAAUAACAAAAAUAAAGUGCACAAUAAAGGUAAUGUGCUUGAAUCAUCCCAAAAAGAUCCCCCCUGCAUCCCCGCCCUCCCUGUCUGUGGAAACAUUGUCUUCCAUGAAACCAGUCCCUGGUGUCACAAAGGAUGGGGGCCACUGCUCUAAAGGAUCACACCAGGAUCUGUGCCGCACAGAACCUCUAAGCACUCAAGAGUGGAAGCAGGCAGACCAGAGAAGAUGCUACUGCAACAAUUAAGCACGAUGACACAGCCACUCAGCCCGGGAGGUGGCAGUGGUGAGGCUGUGAAGUGUUCAUGCUGGGAUUUAGCUUCAAAGCAGAAUUAACAGAAUCGACUUUUUUUUUUUUUUUUUUUUUUUGGACAAGGUCUUGCUCUGUCACCCAGGCUGGAGUGCAGUGGGGCAAUCACAGCUCACUGCAGCCUUGACCUCCCAGGCUCAAAGGGUCCUCCCACCUCAGCCUCCCCAGUAGCUAGGACCACAGGCCUGUGCCCACAUGCCCGGCUUGUUGACAUGUUUGAUCUGGGUGUGAGACAGUGAGGGAGGCUGGUUUUAAACUGAGCAACGAACCCAAAGGUUGGAGGUGCCACCACCCAAGAUGUAGCAGGAUCCAGUGUGGCACCUUUGGCAGGAACAGUUAGGAGCUGGACUGAAAAUACUGGCAGACAUACAUGCAGCCAUGAGCUUUCAGGCCUAUAUAGCUGGAGUGCAGGAAGGUCUGGGCUGGGGGUGUGGGCACCUGGGUGGAACGAGAGACACGCCUGGAGCAGAGCAGCAAGGAAGGGACUGCAGGCAGAGAAAGAACAUGUCCAGCUGGGCUGUUCCAGCCUUAAGAGGAAGAUAGGAGCCAGGCAGACUCAAAAGCAAAGUCAGGCUAAUGACAGGGGCUGGGCCCAGAGCAAGGUGCUGGGAGCCGGGGCUGGACCAGAAGUCAGGCAGCUCGGCAUGAACAGGGAUUCAAACCUGUCUGUUCACUGGGGUGCAGACGUGCAGCCUGGGAGUGGGGACAGGGGUACAUUGGUACAGUGCUAUGAGGUGCCACCUGCACCAGGUGGAAGGGAGUGUUCAUGCCAGGUCUCCAGAAGGACAGGGAGGAGGCCUUAGAGGCCACUGCCGGCUUCCUGCCUGCAACUGCUCUUGUCUGGAGACAGGAGAGACUGAACCAUCCAGGGCAAGGGGGCUCAGGACCUGGACGUGCUAAGUUUAAAAGCCAGAGGCUGGAAAAACAGACCCAGACAAUUUUGCAGAUGGGUCCUCAGAUGUGUUCUGUGUUUCUCUGCAUCACACAGACCACAGCAGAAAUGAGAGGCUUGGAUGACAGGAGACCCUGUGUCCAUCUGCACUUGGCCCCUGCCCUUGAGGCAGGCUCCAUGCCUCCCCCAGGUGCGGUAGUUGAGUAAGGAAAGCAGUCUGCCAGCGUCGUGCGGCCCAUGUGCCCAAACGUGCACAUCUGCAUUGACCCCAUGAACACUGGAGUUGCAUGGGCCCCAAGAGGGCAUCAUGCCUUCAGCCCACGUUUCUCCAAGCCUCAGGAUAUUAUUGAAGUCUCUGGGCUGCAAGUAGGAUGGCUGCCUGAUUCACCUCCCAGCCUCCCCUGGGGUUGCUUCUUGGAUGCCACAUAUCCACAGUCCACCGACUGGCCAGAGGAGGGCUGGGCGAAAGUGCAGCCACUUGUCUGCUGGACAUCCCAGGAAGAGGACAGCCAUGGCAUUUAAUACCCCAGACAAGCAAAUCACCAGUAAGUGACAGAUCUUCCUCCGUGGGGUUGGUGUUGGAAAUGCUGAGAGGCAUGGAAUCUGGCGGUGGCUGGCUCCUCCGUGGCUCUGAGUUGACCAAGGAGAACCGGCCUCUGGAGUGGCAGUAAAUCCAGGAGUGGGCUGUGCUGUUGACACCUUGGAAGGGUCUCCUGGGGCCGGGCCAACUGUAGGUGAUUUGUAAUUGAAUGGUGCUGAAACUUGGAAGAUCCUCACACUCAGCAAGGAAACACCACCUUCCUGGCCCUUCAAGCAACGUGAACUCAAUUUGCCAAGCUUUUCCCUGAAGCAGCAGUGACGCUUCCUACCGAGUUGGACCUGGUGCAAACCUGUGGCCACCCGCAGGGGCUGUGAAGGCUCUGAAGGAAGAGGUCACCAGGACCAGGCUUGUUCUGGGGACAGAUGAGGAUGUGCCUAGUCCUGAAAGACUGAACAUUGCUUCCCACGGCACCUGACCCCAGGGCACUCUUCCUAGUCCCAUAGGAUCCAGGCCCAGGCUGGCUUCCGCCGCCCCUGGGAAAUGGAAUUUGUGCAAUACCACCUGUAUUCCUUUGCUGUGGCUGCCUUAACAAAGCCCCACAGAUGUGUGGUUU
rnacentral:lncRNA from 1 species